AAGUAUCAUUAUUAGCAGAUAAUUGUUAGCUAACUAAAUAAAUCAAAUAUUUUUAGACGCGUGCGGACACUAUAUGCUUGCAUGGGAGAAAGCGAAGGGGAACUAUCCUUUGAGCCGAAUCAAAUAAUAACUAAUGUGCGCUUUUCACAUGAGCCUGGAUGGUUGCAGGGUACACUGAACGGUAAGACAGGACUCAUUCCGGAGAACUAUGUGGAACAUUUGAAGCCAUACAAUUAAAUCAUGUGAUUAUAGCGAUUCUUCUGCUUUUAACGUAUGUCUGUAAGAAGCGCUAUGAUUAUAUUGAUUUCCGCAUCUGCCGAUGAUAAAGUAGAAGUAGGAUGAAAUUCAACAACAAAAAUAUAUUGCUUGUACACAAAUUUUUUGUAUCUAUACGUUUUUAACUAUCAGCAAAGAUUUACUGAAUUACUGCUUUACGCUUCCAUUUGUUGCUUAAUUGUAAUAAAAUAAUUGUAACAAAUUUACAAAAAAUGUAUGUCUAUAAAUAUUACAGCAUUUUACGGCUUAUAAAAUAUUAAAACUACGAGAAUAAAAAAGGCGCUAAAAAGGGUAAAAUGUUCGACCAUGUUAUGUAAACCAUAGAACUAUUUAUUAAAUCCAGACGUAUCCGAAAUUUGUAAAAAUAGUAUAAGAUUCACUGUGGAAUGAAUUUAUCAGCAUAUCAAAUAUACCAAAAAAUAUAAAGCCAA